CGGGUAAACGAGCCCCAGAGGAGCGUGAGCUUCCUCCUCUCCAAACUGGCCUCGAUUUGUCUUAGGCUAAUCCUCUAGCAUUUCCGGCACCGCUCUGCCCCUCCGCCAGCCUUCGUGUUUUUCCGGCAGAGUUCGGGUAUUUCCGGCCAGCCCUAACUUCGGAGAUUUCCGUACUGCACUCGGGUGUACUCGGCAGCCGUUCGGCCUCCCCCAUCCCCCGGUAACGGUCGCUGUUGAGUUUAAAUGAGCCGGGGCUGGGCCGGGCCGGAGCCGCUACGGGGGGGCCUAAGGCGCGACGGAGAGCGGGCCUGAGCCUUGAGGAUGACGGUGCUGCAGGAACCCGUCCAGGCUGCUAUAUGGCAAGCACUAAACCACUAUGCUUUCCGAGAUGCAGUUUUCCUUGCAGAAAGACUGUAUGCCGAAGUACACUCAGAAGAAGCAUUGUUUUUACUGGCUACCUGUUAUUAUCGCUCAGGAAAGGCAUAUAAAGCAUAUAGACUCUUGAAGGGACACAGUUGUACUACACCACAGUGUAAAUAUCUACUUGCAAAAUGUUGCGUCGACCUUAGCAAGCUUGCUGAGGGGGAACAGAUCUUGUCUGGUGGAGUUUUAAAUAAACAGAAAAGCCAUGAUGAUAUUGUUACGGAGUUUGGUGAUUCAGCUUGCUUCACACUUUCAUUGUUGGGACAUGUAUAUUGCAAGACAGAUCGGCUUGCCAAAGGAUCAGAAUGUUACCAAAAGAGCCUUAGUUUAAAUCCUUUCCUCUGGUCCCCUUUUGAGUCAUUAUGUGAAAUAGGUGAAAAGCCAGAUCCUGACCAAACAUUUAAAUUAACAUCGUUACAGAAUUUUAGCAGCUGUCUGCCCAACACUUGCACAACCCUAGUAUCUAAUCACAAUUUAUAUCACAGACAGCCUGAGACAGUUCUAAUGGAAACACCCCAAGAUACAAUUGAAUUAAACAGACUGAAUUUAGAAUCCUCCAAUUCAAAGUACUCCUUGAACACAGAUUCCUCAGUGUCUUAUAUUGAUUCAGCUGUAAUUUCACCAGACACUGUCCCCCUUGGAACAGGAACUACCAUACUGUCUAAACAGGCUCAAAAUAAACCAAAAACUGGGCGGAGUUUAUUAGGAGGACCAGCUGCUCUUAGCCCUUUAACCCCAAGUUUUGGGAUACUGCCACUAGAAACUCCAAGUCCUGGAGAUGGAUCAUAUCUACAAAACUAUACCAACUCCUCUUCUGUAAUUGAUGUGCCAUCCACAGGAGCCCCUUCAAAGAAGUCUGUUGGCAGAAUCAGCCAAGCUGGAACAAAGUCUGUCUUCUCACAGAGUGGAAAUAGUCGAGAGGUAACUCCAAUCCUUGUUGCACAAACACAAAGUUCUGGCCCACAGACAAGUACAACACCUCAGGUAUUGAGCCCCACUAUUGCUGCUCCACCCAAUGCACUGCCUCGAAGAAGCUCACGACUUUUUACUAGUGACAGCUCUACAACCAAGGAAAAUAGUAAAAAGUUAAAAAUGAAGUUUCCACCUAAAAUUCCAAAUAGGAAAACAAAAAGCAAGACUAAUAAAGGAGGAAUAACUCAACCAAACAUCAAUGAUAGCCUGGAAAUUACAAAAUUGGAUUCUUCCAUCAUUUCAGAAGGAAAAAUAUCCACUGUAACACCACAGAUCCAAGCUUUCACUAUUCAGAAAGCAGCAGCAGAAGGUUUGAUGAGCCUUCUUCGUGAUAUGGGGAAAGGCUACUUAGCUUUGUGUUCCUAUAAUUGCAAAGAAGCGAUAAACAUUCUGAGCCACCUCCCGUCUCACCACUAUAAUACUGGUUGGGUACUAUGCCAGAUUGGAAGAGCAUACUUUGAACUGUCUGAAUAUAUGCAGGCUGAAAGAAUAUUCUCAGAAGUGAGACGAAUUGAAAAUUACCGAGUUGAAGGCCUAGAGAUCUACUCAACAACACUUUGGCAUCUUCAAAAAGAUGUUGCUCUUUCAGUUCUUUCAAAGGACUUAACUGACAUGGAUAAAAAUUCACCAGAGGCCUGGUGUGCUGCAGGAAACUGUUUCAGUUUGCAAAGGGAGCAUGAUAUUGCAAUUAAAUUCUUCCAGAGAGCUAUCCAAGUUGAUCCAAAUUAUGCUUAUGCCUAUACACUGCUGGGGCAUGAAUUUGUGUUAACUGAAGAACUAGAUAAAGCAUUAGCCUGUUUUAGAAAUGCAAUCAGAGUCAAUCCUAGACAUUAUAAUGCAUGGUAUGGGUUGGGAAUGAUUUAUUACAAACAAGAAAAGUUCAGCCUUGCAGAAAUGCAUUUCCAAAAAGCACUUGAUAUCAACCCUCAGAGUUCAGUUCUACUUUGUCAUAUUGGAGUUGUUCAACAUGCACUGAAAAAAUCUGAAAAGGCUUUGGAUACCUUAAACAAAGCCAUCAUUAUUGAUCCCAAGAACCCUCUAUGCAAAUUCCACAGAGCCUCGGUUUUAUUUGCAAAUGAAAAAUAUAAGUCUGCUUUACAGGAACUUGAAGAAUUGAAACAGAUUGUUCCCAAAGAAUCUCUCGUUUACUUCUUAAUAGGAAAGGUUUACAAGAAGCUAGGUCAAACUCAUCUGGCCCUGAUGAAUUUCUCUUGGGCAAUGGAUUUAGACCCUAAAGGAGCUAACAACCAGAUUAAAGAAGCAAUUGACAAGCGUUAUCUUCCAGAUGAUGAGGAACCCAUAACUCAAGAAGAACAGAUCAGUGAGUGUUAUCCAUAUGAAUCAGGAAAUAAAGAGAUCAUGAAGGCUACUGAAAAAGACAAAGAAAAGGGAAGCCAGGAACAUAGAAGAUAAACACCCCAGACUUGAUGACUAUCUGGUUGUUCUUCCUUCAACUGGAUGGAAUAAAUAGGAGCUGCACACAGAGUGGCAGGUAGAAGGAAGAGAGAGAAUUUAAGGCUCAUUUUAAAAAGGAUGUUAAAAAAAACUUUUUUUUUUUUUAAGAAAAUCGAUGGUCUAGUUUCAAUCACCAUCAGCAAUGGGAUAUUCAUGGAUCGAAACCACUAACACUUUAAGCCACUACCAAUUUUGUCUUAAGUCCUUAUUAAUGGAUCUAUCUUUUGAUCUGGGUGAAUCUUUGUGAGGCUACUAAAAAAUCAAGAUGAGCCAAAGAAAAUGGGGGUUCUUCCCCCAAAGAAGAUAAAGACAGGAUAAUAACAACAUUAGAAGUUGAAAAAGAAAGCAAUGAAGAAAAGAUUGUGCCAUAAAAGGGAUGAAAAUCAAGCAACACCAACCUGCCUUUGUGAAAGCUAAGCAUGAGAAGGGUACAGAUGAUGGUAAAAAUGAAGAGGAUAAAGCCAAAGCUAAGCUUUAUUUCAGGAGGUUUUUGUGGAAAAUAGGUCAGGACAUAGUGAUCCAGCUUAGAUUUAUCUCAUGUAUAGGGUCUCCCCAAAGCUAUUAAUGGAGUUUCUUCUAGAAUAGGUGCUAAAUGUAAAAAGCAGUAAAUAUCAGGCAUAGGACAACUAUUUAUUUUCUCCACCACACAGAAAUGCUAAAGGUAAAAAAGGCAUAAACAUGCAAUAACAAAUACCUAGAACAUGAAACAGUAAGACAAAAAUAAAAGGCUUAUAAGAGUCUAUAAAAAGACACAGAAAAUGAGAACCAUACAAAGCCCAUUACUUGCUAUACUUUUUUUUAAAUUAUGCACUUAAACACCAAAUAAGAUGACCAUGUCCACCAGGCAAAUAAAAACAGAAAAAGUUUUACACAUGCAGCUAAUAAUCUGAAUAACAUACACCUUUGUUUUCCCCUUCAUAUUAAAUAUACAAAUUUAACAUGUUUUCAAAAGAGUUUUGCUUAUUUGUGUUCCUUACUGAUCUUCCUCAGUUUCUGUAAAUUAAAAAAAAAUACUUCAAUAACCUUUUUUCUUACAUUUCUUCAUUUUUUUCCACUUUGGCAAGCUUUCCUCUUCCCUCAAACUUCUCUCUCCAAAAAAGUUGGGAGAAAAAAACCCCUCAUAUCAAAUAUGAAUUUUCAUUCAAAACAAAUCCCCAAAUUAACUAUGUCUGAAAAUAUGCAUCUUAUUCUGUGCAACUAUCAUUGAGGGAAAAAAAUAAUUGUGGAAAAGGGGACCCUCUCAACACUGGUAAUAUCUGCUGACCAAUUGCCACCAACAGGCAGAAAAGCACAGAGAAUGGAACAUAGUCUGAGAAUGGCAGUACCCCCAGACUACUGGUCUUACUUCCUAUCUAGCCCUUAAACAGAUCAAGUGGGGAACCAACUCCAAUGGAGAAAGAGCCAAGCCAUCCUUGCCAACUGCCAAUCAGCUUAAUGCCACACAUAAAGCAAAGCUGAAGCAACAUCAGAGAAGAAGCAAUGACACAAGGUAAUAUGUUCAAGGAAGUCAAACCAGUACCAUAACUUUGACCACCAUCUCCUCUUAAAGUUUAAUGGAGACAGCUCAGGACCCUGAUCAAGAACUUUGAGAAAAGUGAUAUUUCCAGCCCACUGUCCUCAGCCAUUAUCCUAGGAAGCAAUCACUAUGGAGAUGCAGUCUGACUAUGCAUCCUACAGAAGCUUUGGUACAUCCUUUGAGGACCUAGAAAAGAAAGUUCCUGUUACUAAAGUCCUUGGCACUGUCAAACUGUUCAACAAUGGAAACUGAUAAGGUUUUGUCAGUGAAAAUGACAUUAAAGAAGCAGCAUUACCAUCUCCCUUGCUGCUGCACCCUAAAUCUUUUCAUCUGAUUUGAAGCUGAAACUUUCCUAAUGUGUUAUCUCCCCCAGUAAAAUGUGAGCUCCUGAAGAGCAGGGACUAUCAUCCUUUUCUGUUUGUAUCUCCAGUGCUUAACACAAUUAUUUGCACAAAGUAAGUGCUUAAUAAAUAUUUUGUUCACUCAUUUAUUUGUGGGUUGUUAUUUAAUGACACUGUACAUUGACCUCAACAUAGUGGAAGUCAUUUUUGUCCUCUUCAAGUAUGAAGGACAACAACCAACAUCUACUGGCACCUGUGAUCAAGGACUCAUGAAGCAGAAGAAACAACUAGGAACUUGAGAUCUAGUCUUAGGAUCACGUAGAAAAACAUAUCCUUGGGUCAGCUAGUUGUCUCAGUGGAUAGAGAGCCAGACCUGGAGAGAGAAGGUCCUGGAUUCAAAUCUAGUCUCAGAUACUUCCUAUCUGUGUGACUGGGCAAAUCACUUAACCCCCAUUGCCUAGCCCAUACAGCUCUUCUGCCUUGGAACCAGUAUCUAGUAUUGAUUCUAAGACAGAAGGUAAGGGUUAAAAAAAAAAGAAAGAAAGAAAAGCAUGUGCUCACUUUGCUAUGUUCAUGUAUCCUCCCGGGAAUAUCAUAGUCAAAAUCCAGAGCUUCCAAGUCAAAAACAAAAACAAAAAACUACAAGUAAUCACAAAGAGAGAAUUGAGGUAGUACUUUCCCCCCUCUGAGGUAACUUUCCAUCUGCUAUGGAUAUAUCUUAUGUGUACUAAUUAUUUACACAAUGUUUGCUCAAUGAGGUUGCAUGUUUUUGGAGGGCAGGAAUUGUUAUUAUCUGCUUCUUCUGUACUUAGUUCAGUGCCUGGCACAUUGUAAGGCCCAUUAUAAGUGCUUGUUUACUGACUAAGGAGUUAUAGUCACUUGCAACUAUCACUAGGAAGGAGAGGAAAAUUUGGCAUGUACUGUUCUAAAAGACAAAAGGCUUACAACUUGUCUAGCAAAGCUGAGAAUAACCAGAAAGGGUUUUGAAAAACUAAAUAAAAAUGGAUUUUUAAUGAAAUAGAGCACUUAUAAGUAUUGUUGAUGAAAUAAGCAAUAAGCACUUUAAAAUGCAAACAUAGAACAAAAAAAAAACACAAAAAGUUAAUAUUUUUGAGCAUUUGGAAGGGACAAUACAAUGAUUAAGUGUUUAUAGUUGAAUGAGGGAAAAUAGCAAGUGUUCCCUCAGAACCCCGUCUUCCCAGGUCAAACAUAAUCAGUAAACCAAAAGACCUAAGGAAAGUUUUGUUAUAUUUUGAGGAGAAGAGGGGAAAAAAGAAAAGGAAUGCAUUAGGGAAGAGAGAGAGGAAAGGAUGAAACAUUAUCUCAGAUGGUUGAGUUGCUAAAGAAUUAGACUAUACAAAUAUGAAAGAAGAAAGAAGAGAAGCACAUGAACUGUACUGUCAACUGAACUUGACAAAGAUUAAUUCUAGCACAGAACCAGAAGAGGACAGGAUUAAGAGGGAGUGUAGAUUCAGAAGGCUAGAUGGUGCAGUGCAUAGAGUGAAAUUCCUCAUCUUCAUGAGUUCAAAUCUAGUCUCAGAUACCUACUAGCUAUGUGACCCUGGAGAGAGUCCCCUAGCUCUGCCUUUUCCAAUCUGUAAAAAUGAUCUAGAGAAAGAAAAAGACAAACCAUUCUAGUGUUUUUGCCAAGAAAACUCAGAGGGUUCACAAAGAGUUGGAGAUGACUACAAUGACUGAAAAACAACUGAUUCAGGUGGAAGGGAUUACAUUUAUCUUAUAUAAUUUGGCUUUACAAGGAAACUGUAUAAAAAGUUAGGAGAAAAAACUAUACAGGAAGCUUAUUUAUGUGUGAGGUUUCUCAGUGGCAUAGUAGAUAGAGCACACUGGACCUGGAGAUAGUAAGUCCCAAGUUCACAUUAUCCAUCAGACAUUUACAUACAUCAGACACUGAGGCAAGUUAUUUUGAUUUCUCUCAGUUUUAUCAUUUAUUAAAUAGGAAUAGUAGCACCUACUUUCUAGGAUUGUUGUGUGUUAUCAAAUGAGAUGUUUGCAACAUGUUUUACAAACCUUAAAGUGCUAUAUAAGUGCUAGAUAUUAUUGUUAUUAUUUGAACUAGAAAAAAGGAUUGAAUACACACAUGCAGAAUUGGGAGAAAAAAAUUAUUAACUCCCUUUGGAAUAUAGUGGGGGCAGAAAGGUGUGGGAUUAGUCUUAAGCAAGGCAAUCUCUGUCUUUCAGAGUAUGGAACAUGAGGGAUAUAGAUGGGAAAAAGGAAGGAAGGAAAGAGAGAAAGGAAGAAAGAAAAA